AUGAGGUCGCUGCCGCUGCCGCUGCCGCUGCUCGGAGCGGUCCUCAUCGUGGCCGCCACGCUGCCGGAGGGGGCGGCGGCCAAGUGGACGGCGGUGAACCCGAACGUGGUGGUGGUCCAGCAGGUGGGGCGGUUCGCGGUGAUCGUGUACGACCUGGCGCACAGCGCGGGCCUGACGUACGUGGGGGUGGCGCGCGGCGAGACGGAGGAGGCGGUGGGCGGCGGCACCAUCUACCGCCUGGUGGUGGCGGCGGCGAAGGCCGACGGGAGCAGGGCGCAGUACGAGUGCCUGGUGUGGGGCGUGCCGGGGUCCAGCCUCAGCACCUGGAAGCUCCGCAGGUUCAGGAAGAUCGCAAUAGCAUAG
rnacentral:rRNA from 1 species